GCAGUGGGGAAUAUUGGACAAUGGGCGCAAGCCUGAUCCAGCCAUGCCGCGUGUGUGAUGAAGGCCUUAGGGUUGUAAAGCACUUUCACCGGAGAAGAUAAUGACGGUAUCCGGAGAAGAAGCCCCGGCUAACUUCGUGCCAGCAGCCGCGGUAAUACGAAGGGGGCUAGCGUUGUUCGGAAUUACUGGGCGUAAAGCGCACGUAGGCGGAUAUUUAAGUCAGGGGUGAAAUCCCAGAGCUCAACUCUGGAACUGCCUUUGAUACUGGGUAUCUUGAGUAUGGAAGAGGUAAGUGGAAUUGCGAGUGUAGAGGUGAAAUUCGUAGAUAUUCGCAGGAACACCAGUGGCGAAGGCGGCUUACUGGUCCAUAACUGACGCUGAGGUGCGAAAGCGUGGGGAGCAAACAGGAUUAGA
rnacentral:rRNA from 1 species